GAGGGAAGGCAGAGGGGAGAAGGAGGAGGAGAAGAAGAAGAACAAGAAGAAGAAGGCAGAACAGUGAGGACAGGACAAGCCAGAAACUGGAAGAAGAAGAAGCAGCAGCAGGAAAUAAAAAAUAAAAAAUAAAAAAAGCCACAUUCCCCACAGGCUCCCAUCAGGAAACAGACGGAUUAUUUAUUGCCUCUUUCAUCUUUGAUGCAUUUAAAUUAGCUCAAAUCAGUACAAACCAGAUGGAUCUUGUGAAAGCCACUCUGUGCUCAGCAAACAUCCUAAUCAGGACUCCAUUCAAUUUUAAAUUCAAAGUAGAUACCGAGUCCAUUUGUUAGCAUCAAAUACAUAAACGCUAAAGACCAGUGGAAGUGGUGCAUGAAGUAUACAAACAUGUUUUUUUUUUAUUUUUUAUUGAAGUUUGGGAUUUGCAGACUUACAUGACAAGUUGACAUCAAUCAGACGCGACAUUACAACUACUCAGCUGCAGAGUUCCUAACACCAAAUACGCCAUCAUCAACGUUUUUAGUUUCUCGUGUUUUCAUGAAAUCAACACCUCUCUCACCUACCAAGACGGAUAGCGGUGCAUAUUUAGUUCAGAUAUGAUCCACAUUUGUAAUCCUCCUCUGACCCACAUACAUUCAGUCCAAAGUAAUGAUGUUGGCGCAAGGCAAGUCUGGCUGCCGAGAGUCAGCUGCAGGUCCAGACAUGCUGGACCUGUUCAUCAAUUAUCAGAGUAGUACGCACUGUCCCAGUUUACUUCUGAUGCCGAACCAAACUAUUAGAACGAUCCAUGAAUAGAACGAGUCCUUCGGUAAACACAAGAGGCUGGGAUCAGGUAGACGGAUCUUGCAAAGUCUCCAUCACUCAAGAGCAAAACAAACAAAAUCCUUGAUGGGAAUCAGUAAAUCUUUCCCUGAAAUCUUGUCUGAUCUCAGUUUGUCUGUAACUGCAGCAAAAUGUUUUGGUUUGAGAUGAUAAUUCAGGCUUUGGUCACAGGUCAACUUGCACACACAGUAGUCCUUUCCAGCAUCUCAUCAGAUUGUUUGAGGCUAAACCGAACCCCCAGCAGGUCAAGAGAAGCACGUUCGUCGUCUGUUACGGUUGUGCGUCAGAUUUAAGGCAUACCAAAACUCCCCAUGAAUACAAAGGUUCCUACUGGAACUAUUGUAAAUCUAUGUAAUGUGUUUUAAAAGUGCAGCCAUAAUUUAAACAAUUGAUGAAGCAUCUGGAUAAAAUGUAAACAAACUGAAUUUACAUUGCGCCUUUCCAGUCAAGCUGACCGCUCAAAGCACUUUAUGCUACACCGAUACAGAAAUAUUGAAAUUAUAUUUGGUCAAUAUAAACUGAUCACAUACCAAUCAAACAGAUAGGAGCACCUCUUGAAACCAGCGUUCCUCUGCACUCUGUUGGGAAUGUAAGCUCAAAUUUCCACUUUCAGUCACCCAUCGCACAGACAUGAUUAUAUCAAAACUUGUGAUACACAGUCGUGACUUUGUCCUGCUGUUCUCCCUCACCUAUUCGAUGGGAUAUUUAAAAAAAAAAAAACACAACAACAAACCUGACUGUGAAAUGCAACAGUAAUGUGUGAAUGUGAGAAAUCAAGGAUAUAAUUUCUCUGAAGCCGUUGUUUUUAUUGUAUCUGUUCAACUCCUCUCAGUGAAGUGUGUGGAACUGAGCGCCUUCGUUGUUGCAGUUGGCCUCCGUCAUCUUCGACUGUAUAUUUCGUGCUCCGUGUGUGAAACGAGUGCCUGCAGACAUGGCUGUUUAUCUUGAGUUUUCAGUCCGGAACAAAACCCUCGGUUUGGUUUGAUCCAAAUCCACUACAGGCAAUGACAAAAAGGCAGCAGAGAGAAAACUCAUAAUCCGGCCCACGGGGCAGGAAAUGGGAACACACACACCCCGUGUGAGCGUCAUCUCUGAUCACAGAUCUGGAGCCCGUGUUGAACACUCCAUGAAAAAAAAAAAAAAAAACGUUGCAUGAGCGCCAAGCGGCUCGGACACACGCGACCCCUUCAAGCAGAAAGGGACACAUGCAAACACAGCCGACUCCAACGACGAGACAACGAUGCCUACAUCAUCGAUUAUGAACGUUUAUUCAAAAAUAGCUCGACUCCACUUGUUUUUCUGACCGAACACAGUGGUGUUCAUUCAUCCAAUUUUAUGCAUCACAUGUCAAAUCAACUGCGUCACUCUAACGCUGUAAAAAAAAAAAAAGAUAUUCUAACGCCACAGGCAAAUACAAAGAGAGGCAACAGAGUUUAGCUUAUUGCAUUAGAGGGAUAAAUGCGCCUAGCUUUGUCUCUGAGCAGCAGAUGGAGAGCAGAUUUACCCUUCUGCUGCAGAGAAUCCCAUGACCGCCAGGCCGGCACUGAAGAAGUGAUGGAGUCAACUUCUCCUCUGCCACAAGGUGGAGCCUUUGAGAACUUUACUCACUGCUGAUUAAAUGGAAAUGCUCAGGAUGUCAUGACUGAGAAACCUCACAGUUGCCUCCGUCAGGAGUAAAACAUAACCACCGCAGGACGGAUCUGAACAGGGAGAAGACCAAAGAUAACAUCUCGAUAACGCCGACCAGAGAGGGACUCGGAGGAUCAACAUGAGAAAACAGCUUUGAGUUGGGUUUGCCUCCUGAAGAAAACCCAUUUCAAUCAAACUGGCGACGUAGUAAAUGUUUUGUGUGAU